GAGACAGCAGCCGCCACGGUAAUACGUAGGGCGCAAGCGUUGUCCGGAAUUAUUGGGCGUAAAGAGCUCGUAGGCGGUCUGUCGCGUCUGGUGUGAAAUCCCGAGGCUCAACCUCGGGCUUGCAUCGGGUACGGGCAGACUAGAGUGCGGUAGGGGAGACUGGAAUUCCUGGUGUAGCGGUGGAAUGCGCAGAUAUCAGGAGGAACACCGAUGGCGAAGGCAGGUCUCUGGGCCGCAACUGACGCUGAGGAGCGAAAGCAUGGGGAGCGAACAGGAUUAGAUACCCCAGUAGUCCCUGUCUCUUAUAC
rnacentral:rRNA from 1 species